rnacentral:tRNA from 1 species
UCCCUGGUAGCUCAAUUGGCAGAGCGCCUGGCUGUUAACUAGGAUGUUGCAGGUUCGAGUCCUGCCCAGGGAGCCA